rnacentral:lncRNA from 1 species
GGGGAAUGGGGAGGGGACGGUAGCGUCAGCCUACACCCACACGCAGGUUAGAGCCUUGGACGGGGAAGCGGAAAAGGCUUAGCAGCUACUAAUGGGUUCUAUUAAUAGUAGUAGUGUUAGUUUCCUGAUAAAAGGUCCUUUGGAAACUUUGAUUCUCUUCUCACCAAGUUGAACGGAGAUGUGUUCCCAUAGUAAGAGUGAGGCCCCUGCAUUUGCUGCCCUCGGUUUUCCCAACUAACACCAGGGCCUCCCCCCUGUACCCCAUUCAUAUGCCUCAGAAGCUGACAAUGACUGUUGGGCUUUUCCAAUGAAUACCAGAACACCAUUUCCUGCAGCCUGAAAAGAAGACAGUAUAAUUGUUUGGCAGCAAGAGGCCAAGCAGGAAACUAGAGAUAUGGUGACGGUAGUGGUCCCAGGGAGGAGCUUUAACCUGAGCACCACCCACAGAAGGCAGACCACCCUCCCAGCCGCAGUGCAAAUGAAUGUUGGCCCCCACCCAGGUCCCCAAGUGCUUUCCCAGUCACGCCCCAGCUGCCAGGUUUUUUUCUCCAGGCCUACUACAGAUGGGUUACCCUGACUCCACCCCCAACACCCUCCAAUGAUUAGAACCACUGACUCCUCCCUCCCAUGCCUGCCUCCAUGGCAGGCCCCUGCAGAAACCAAACAUAGUCACCUUAGACUCUGGCAUACUGAGACCAGGGCUUGAUCCUGGCCCCCUUGCCUCCCUGGCAAUUUAUCAUUUAAUAAAAAUAUUGUUAAAAAAUAU